UGCAGUCGAGCGGAACGAGUUAACUGACCCUUCGGGUGACGUUAACGGCGUCGAGCGGCGGACGGGUGAGUAAUGCCUGGGAAAUUGCCCUGAUGUGGGGGAUAACCAUUGGAAACGAUGGCUAAUACCGCAUAAUGCCUUCGGGCCAAAGAGGGGGACCUUCGGGCCUCUCGCGUCAGGAUAUGCCCAGGUGGGAUUAGCUAGUUGGUGAGGUAAUGGCUCACCAAGGCGACGAUCCCUAGCUGGUCUGAGAGGAUGAUCAGCCACACUGGAACUGAGACACGGUCCAGACUCCUACGGGAGGCAGCAGUGGGGAAUAUUGCACAAUGGGCGCAAGCCUGAUGCAGCCAUGCCGCGUGUGUGAAGAAGGCCUUCGGGUUGUAAAGCACUUUCAGCAGUGAGGAAGGCGGGUACGUUAAUAGCGUGCUCGUUUGACGUUAGCUGCAGAAGAAGCACCGGCUAACUCCGUGCCAGCAGCCGCGGUAAUACGGAGGGUGCGAGCGUUAAUCGGAAUUACUGGGCGUAAAGCGCAUGCAGGUGGUUCGUUAAGUCAGAUGUGAAAGCCCGGGGCUCAACCUCGGAACUGCAUUUGAAACUGGCGGACUAGAGUACUGUAGAGGGGGGUAGAAUUUCACGUGUAGCGGUGAAAUGCGUAGAGAUCUGAAGGAAUACCGGGUGGCGAAAGGCGGCCCC
rnacentral:rRNA from 1 species